GUCCACGCCCUAAACUAUGGAUACUAGGUAUGGGGGGUAUCGACCCCCUCCGUGCCGAAGUUAACACGUUAAGUAUCCCGCCUGGGGAGUACGGCCGCAAGGUUAAAACUCAAAGGAAUUGACGGGGGCCCGCACAAGCAGCGGAGCGUGUGGUUUAAUUCGAUGCAACACGAAGAACCUUACCAAGGCUUGACAUACUGGAAGUAGAAUACCGAAAGGUCGACGACCUGUUAAAUCAGGAGCCAGCACAGGUGCUGCAUGGCUGUCGU
rnacentral:rRNA from 1 species